AUUGAACGCUGGCGGCAGGCCUAACACAUGCAAGUCGAACGAGUGGCGGACGGGUGAGUAAUGUCUGGGAAACUGCCUGAUGGAGGGGGAUAAAUACUGGAAACGGUAGAUAAUACCGCAUACCAUCGGAUGUGCCCAGAUGGGAUUAGCUAGUAGGUGGGGUAACGGCUCACCUAGGCGACGCUCCCUAGCAGGUCUGAGAGGAGGACCGGCAACAAUGGAACGUAGACCCGGUCCAGACUCCUACGGGAGGCAGCAGUGGGGAAUAUUGCACAAGUGGCGCAAGCCUGAUGCAGCCAUGCCGCGUGUAUGAAGCAGGCCUUCGGGUUGUAAAGUACGUUCAGCGGGGAGGCGUUACCCGCAGAAGAAGCACCGGCUAACUCCGUGCCAGCAGCCGCGGUAAUAC
rnacentral:rRNA from 1 species